ACUUAUUUAAAAUUAUAAAAUUUGGGAUGUAAGAUAUGGCCAGAAAGAUUUACAACCUGUUCAAGACUUCAGAUAAUCAUAGCGUGUCACCAGUGGCGGAUCCAGACAAAUUAUUUGACGGGGACACAUAAUUAAUAUUAAUAUUAGUAAUAUAAUAAAAAAUAUAUAAUUUAUUAAUAAAUAUUAUAGACUGUUAAUAAUAAAAAAUAAACAGUUUUAAACUGUCAAAACAACAAUUCACUAUUUUUAUUCGAAUGCUAUAAUUUUAAGAUUAUAUUUUUAAAAAAAAAAAUAUUAUCAGUUACAGUACUGUUACAACCAAUUUGGAAAUAUAUAGAAAAUGCCAUCGUUUUAUACAUAUAACAACAGUAUGUCAAUGUCAUACAUAUUUUUGGUCAUAAUACCUCAAAGAACUAAAUUCUAAAAAUUAAAUUGAAAUGAAUGAAUUGUUUAUCAUCUAAAUAUUAAUUAGAAUUGUUCAUUUACUAAUAUAUAUUAUUAAAACAAUGAAACGUGCUUAAAAAAAUUGAAAUUUAAACAUGAAAUAUAAUAGAAAGAACUAUGAAAAAAAACAAAUAAAGAAAAGAUAUGCUGAGAAAAGUAUAAUAAUCAAACAAAAAGUAGAAAAUGCUACUAUAAUAGCUAAAAAGAUAGAAUAAAUGUAAACGUGUAACCACAUUAAUUAUACAGCCAAAAGAAAAAAAAAUACAGAGAGGGGGCUUUGAACUCGGUAGGUAUUCGACUUAUCAGGGACAGCUUUGCCAAUUGUUCUACCAGAGUUGAAUGUCAACAUAAUUACUUACGAAGUUUUAUAAUGUAGUCGGGGGCACGUGCCCCCAUACACAACACUGUAGAUCCGCCUCUGCGUGUCACAAGCCAUAGACUUAGUAUAUGGAGCUAGAUCGAGCAGAUCCAGCUUGUUUAUGACCAAAUCCCUUUAUAUCCGAUCUACA
rnacentral:lncRNA from 1 species